rnacentral:rRNA from 1 species
UACGUAUGGUGCAAGCGUUAUCCGGAUUUACUGGGCGUAAAGGGAGCGCAGGCGGCGCGCCAAGUCUGAUGUGAAACCCCGGGGCUCAACCCCGGGCAUGCAUUGGAAACUGGCGGGCUGGAGUGCCGGAGAGGUAAGCGGAAUUCCUAGUGUAGCGGUGAAAUGCGUAGAUAUUAGGAGGAACACCAGUGGCGAAGGCGGCUUACUGGACGGCAACUGACGCUGAGGCUCGAAAGCAUGGGUAGCGAACAGG